rnacentral:rRNA from 1 species
GAUGAACGCUAGCGGCAGGCUUAACACAUGCAAGUCGAGGGGUAUAGUAGCAAUACUAGAGACCGGCGCACGGGUGCGUAACGCGUAUGCAAUCUACCUUUUGCAGAGGGAUAGCCCAGAGAAAUUUGGAUUAAUACCUCAUAGUAUAGAACAAUCGCAUGAUUGAGCUAUUAAAGUCACAACGGCAAAAGAUGAGCAUGCGUCCCAUUAGUUAGUUGGUAAGGUAACGGCUUACCAAGACUACGAUGGGUAGGGGGUCCUGAGAGGGAGAUCCCCCACACUGGUACUGAGACACGGACCAGACUCCUACGGGAGGCAGCAGUGAGGAAUAUUGGACAAUAGGGUCGCAAGCCUGAUCCAGCCAUGCCGCGUGCAGGAUGAC